UACGAAGGGGGGCUAGCGUUGCUCGGAAUCACUGGGCGUAAAGCGCACGUAGGCGGAUCUUUAAGUCAGGGGUGAAAUCCCAAGGCUCAACCUUGGAACUGCCUUUGAUACUGGGGAUCUCGAGUCCGGAAGAGGUGAGUGGAACUGCGAGUGUAGAGGUGAAAUUCGUAGAUAUUCGCAAGAACACCAGUGGCGAAGGCGGCUCACUGGUCCGGUACUGACGCUGAGACGCGAAAAGCGUGGGGAGCGAACAGG
rnacentral:rRNA from 1 species